rnacentral:rRNA from 1 species
UGGGGAAUAUUGCACAAUGGGCGCAAGCCUGAUGCAGCCAUGCCGCGUGUGUGAAGAAGGCCUUCGGGUUGUAAAGCACUUUCAGCGAGGAGGAAGGUGGUGAACUUAAUACGUUCAUCAAUUGACGUUACUCGCAGAAGAAGCACCGGCUAACUCCGUGCCAGCAGCCGCGGUAAUACGGAGGGUGCAAGCGUUAAUCGGAAUUACUGGGCGUAAAGCGCACGCAGGCGGUUUGUUAAGUCAGAUGUGAAAUCCCCGGGCUCAACCUGGGAACUGCAUUUGAAACUGGCAAGCUAGAGUCUCGUAGAGGGGGGUAGAAUUCCAGGUGUAGCGGUGAAAUGCGUAGAGAUCUGGAGGAAUACCGGUGGCGAAGGCGGCCCCCUGGACGAAGACUGACGCUCAGGUGCGAAAGCGUGGGGAGCAAACAGGAUUAGAUACCCCUGGUAGUCCACGCUGUAAACGAUGUCGAUUUUGGAGGUUGUGCCCUUGAGGCGUGGCUUCCGGAGCUAACGCGUUAAAUCGACCGCCUGGGGAGUACGGCCGCAAGGUUAAAACUCAAAGGAAUUGACGGGGUCAAUGCUGUUUCCU